UAACACAUGCAAGUCGAACGGACCCUUCGGGGUUAGUGGCGGACGGGUGAGUAACACGUGGGAACGUGCCUUUAGGUUCGGAAUAGCUCCUGGAAACGGGUGGUAAUGCCGAAUGUGCCCUUCGGGGGAAAGAUUUAUCGCCUUUAGAGCGGCCCGCGUCUGAUUAGCUAGUUGGUGAGGUAACGGCUCACCAAGGCGACGAUCAGUAGCUGGUCUGAGAGGAUGACCAGCCACACUGGGACUGAGACACGGCCCAGACUCCUACGGGAGGCAGCAGUGGGGAAUCUUGCGCAAUGGGCGAAAGCCUGACGCAGCCAUGCCGCGUGAAUGAUGAAGGUCUUAGGAUUGUAAAAUUCUUUCACCGGGGACGAUAAUGACGGUACCCGGAGAAGAAGCCCCGGCUAACUUCGUGCCAGCAGCCGCGGUAAUACGAAGGGGGCUAGCGUUGCUCGGAAUUACUGGGCGUAAAGGGCGCGUAGGCGGAUCGUUAAGUCAGAGGUGAAAUCCCAGGGCUCAACCCUGGAACUGCCUUUGAUACUGGCGAUCUUGAGUAUGAGAGAGGUAUGUGGAACUCCGAGUGUAGAGGUGAAAUUCGUAGAUAUUCGGAAGAACACCAGUGGCGAAGGCGACAUACUGGCUCAUUACUGACGCUGAGGCGCGAAAGCGUGGG
rnacentral:rRNA from 1 species